rnacentral:lncRNA from 1 species
UGUACAUAGUCCGCUAUUCUGCAGUGAUUUUCUUCCAAUCCAGUAUCAUUUGUACGUUGCAGCAUCUUCGAACACUAUGACCCAUGAAUCAGAAGAUAACGUAGAUGCUACGAGAGAGCUCAUUUCACAAUGGACAACAGAAGUGUUACAUGACUUUCUACAAGGAGGGGACUCAAGCUUGGAAAUCGAGUACCGGUAGUCAUUAUUUUAUGGGUGUUCUCUGCCUUGACUCUGGGGGUACUGUUCAGCCAUCCGAGGUAGAGAUAAACUGGACGAUGGAUGGAGAGGGGGCGGGGGGGGGGGGGAGAAAGGCAUGCAGACUGCAGAGCUGGUCGUCUACUAUGUAUAGAGACAUUUGUGUGUACCUAGUAGAUAAGGACCCUCCAUCACUAGAGGGAAGAAUGAGAGACUACAAAGAGGGAAAGGCAUUUAGUUAUUUUGCCAGUUUCUGGUUAGGGAGAUAUUUUUUUCAUCUCGUGGGAGAAAGCUGUCUGUAAUUCAAAAUCAUUUGAUACUUGAAUAAAUUUAGUUCAUUUUCUAGACUGUUUCAUGUCAAACCGUUGAUUCUACUUUCUUGUGAGUAUAGUCAGAGAGAUAGAGAAGUAACACGAGUAAA